AUGAAGCCUGUGCCAAAGAAAGCAGAGCCAAAAGUUAGAAACACACAGGAUGACAGCAUGACCCCCAUUUUCCAAAUGAAGAAGUGGAGGCUCAGAGAGGUUGAGUGGUUUGCCAAGGCCACACAGCAAAUACGGAGUAGAGGUGAUGCUUGGGUCACCUUAGCUGCCUUGCUGGGCUUGAAUCUGAAUUCCAGACGUGGACGACUCCCCAGGCUACAUCUUCAAGGCAGACUUCGCUCCGGAGCUCCAGACUAUAAUCUCCCUAUCCCUGGAUAUCUCCAUCUGGACCUCCGAUGGGCUUUUCCAAUUCCGCAUGUCCAAGACCGCCUUCCUCAUACUUGCCACCCACAGACCUGCUUCCCUUCCGGGGUCCUCCGACAGGCAGCCCCCUCACCCACGCCAGAAACCUGGGAGUCAGCUUUCACACCCUCAUACGCCGUCAGCGACCGAGCCCAGGGAACUCUCUUCCGUCUGCUUCCUUCCAUCUCACCUGCUGCAGCACCUCUGACCACAUCUGCUGCUCUCACCCCCACCACCUUGGGGGCUCCCCCUUCCUCCGGGCCCCCCAGAGUGCUCUUCCUAAAGCACGAAGAAGUCAUUCCUGGUGAAAGCCCCUGCCUACAGGACAAAGACUGAACUUCUUAACAUGACACCCAAGGCCCUGAAUGGCUCAGCUCAGCUGAAUAAAUCCAUGAAUGUCACUCAUUCUUGUCUGGAACAUAUUCCACACCUGCCCCCAGCUCCCACUCAAGCCUCAGUUUAGACCGAGCCUGGUCUCAACAGCUUUCUGGAUCCUUCCUACCACCUUCCACUCUGUCCCGCCUCUCCCCCACUGGAUAAGUUAAAUGCCCC
ensembl:lincRNA